ACGGGAGGCAGCAGUGGGGAAUAUUGGACAAUGGGGGAGACCCUGAUCCAGCGACGCCGCGUGAGUGAAGAAGUAUUUCGGUAUGUAAAGCUCUAUCAGCAGGGAAGAAAAUGACGGUACCUGACUAAGAAGCCCCGGCUAACUACGUGCCAGCAGCCGCGGUAAUACGUAGGGGGCAAGCGUUAUCCGGAUUUACUGGGUGUAAAGGGAGCGUAGACGGCAACACAAGUCUGAAGUGGAAGCCCGCGGCUUAACUGCGGAACUGCUUUGGAAACUGUGCAGCUAGAGUGUCGGAGAGGUGAGUGGAAUUCCCAGUGUAGCGGUGAAAUGCGUAGAUAUUGGGAGGAACGCCGAUGGCGAAGGCGGCUCACUGGACGAUAACUGACGUUGAUGCUCGAAAGCGUGGGGAGCAAACAGGAUUAGAUACCCUGGUA
rnacentral:rRNA from 1 species